GUCGGAGGAUGCAAGCGUUAUCCGGAAUGAUUGGGCGUAAAGCGUCCGCAGGUGGCAGUUCAAGUCUGCUGUCAAAGACCGGGGCUUAACUUCGGAAAGGCAGUGGAAACUGAACAGCUAGAGUAUGGUAGGGGCAGAGGGAAUUCCUGGUGUAGCGGUGAAAUGCGUAGAGAUCAGGAAGAACAUCGGUGGCGAAGGCGGCAUCCUGGACCAACACUGACGCUGAGUGAGCGAAAGCCAGGGGAGCAAACGGG
rnacentral:rRNA from 1 species